GGAUGUGAGGGCGAUCUGGCUGUGACAUCUGUCACCCCAGUGAUCACCAGGGUUGAUUCAGCUGAUCUGGCUGGCUAGGCGGGUGUCCCCUUCCUCCCUCACCGCUCCAUGUGCGUCCCUCCCAAAGCUGCGCUCUUCGUCGAAGAGGACUGCCUUCCCCGAACAGAGACGGACUGGUCUUCAGUCGAGGGUAUACGAGUAGCUGCACUCCCCUGCUAGAACCUCCAAACAAGCUCUCAAGGUCCAUUAAGUUCCAGUAGUUCUGGAGAUAGGAGUGAAAUUGUCACCCGUCCCUAACGCAUGCCAGUCAAUCACUG
ensembl:misc_RNA 7SK 7SK RNA